rnacentral:sRNA from 1 species
UGUAUUAAAUGGCAGCCUUACUAGAUA